rnacentral:rRNA from 1 species
GAGUAACGCGUAUCCAACCUGCCCACCACUUGGGGAUAACCUUGCGAAAGUAAGACUAAUACCCAAUGACGUCUCUAGAAGGCAUCUGAAAGAGAUUAAAGAUUUAUCGGUGAUGGAUGGGGAUGCGUCUGAUUAGCUUGUUGGCGGGGUAACGGCCCACCAAGGCAACGAUCAGUAGGGGUUCUGAGAGGAAGGUCCCCCACAUUGGAACUGAGACACGGUCCAAACUCCUACGGGAGGCAGCAGUGAGGAAUAUUGGUCAAUGGACGAGAGUCUGAACCAGCCAAGUAGCGUGCAGGAAGACGGCCCUAUGGGUUGUAAACUGCUUUUAUAAGGGAAUAAGGUGAGUCUCGUGAGACUUUUUGCAUGUACCUUAUGAAUAAGGACCGACUAAUUCCGUGCCAGCAGCCGCGGUAAUACGGAAGGUCCGGGCGUUAUCCGGAUUUAUUGGGUUUAAAGGGAGCGUAGGCCGGAGAUUAAGCGUGUUGUGAAAUGUAGACGCUCAACGUCUGCACUGCAGCGCGAACUGGUUUCCUUGAGUACGCACAAAGUGGGCGGAAUUCGUGGUGUAGCGGUGAAAUGCUUAGAUAUCACGAAGAACUCCGAUUGCGAAGGCAGCUCACUGGAGCGCAACUGACGCUGAAGCUCGAAAGUGCGGGUAUCGAACAGGAUUAGAUACCCUGGUAGUCCGCACGGUAAACGAUGGAUGCCCGCUGUUGGUCUGAAUAGGUCAGCGGCCAAG